rnacentral:lncRNA from 1 species
AUGGAGGUGUCUAUGCAGCUGUAUGCGUUGCUGCUGAGUGGAGCGGUCCUCCUGUCACUCAUCCUGUUGACUGGCCUGUGUCUUCGCUGCAGAAGACACAACCUGCCUACGUCCAUUCAGCAGCGUUACAGUGAGGAUUACACUCAGCACACCCCAGGAUUCGGCUUGGCCCACCCACCAUACAACCCCUCUUCAGCCACAAGCUGGGGUGCUCCCCCUUCUAGCCUCCUUUCACCCAUUUCACCACAGAUCGUUCUGAGACCGAACUCUGUCACCCCAACUGAAAAUGAGAGUAAUGACGGCUAUGAGAGUCCAGGAGAAGAGUAUGUCAACGAGGUGAUGGAUGACUAUGAACCAGGAUCAGGCUACCUAAUAGUGUUACCAUCAGAUCUUCCUGGGACUGGGUCUCUGCGUCAUUCCAACCAAUGUCUCAUCUCCAAAAGCUCCCAAAGCACAGAAAACAGUGGCGCGGUUGGCAAUAUGAACGUCGACGUGGAAAAGAGUGAUGACAGUGAUGAUGGCAGCAACGACUAUGUCAAUACUAAAGAAAGCAAUGACGCGGAGGUCAAUGUCGACUUGGGAAAGAGUGAUGACAGUGAUGAAGGCAGCAACGACUAUGUCAAUACUAAAGAAAAUAGUGGCGCAGAGGGCAAUAUGAAUGUCGUUGUGGAAAAGAGCGAUGACAGUGAUGACGAAGGCAACGACUAUGUCAAUACUAAAGACAUGUGAAGCCUCCCCAUCACGUAGCAGAUUCUGACGGGGAGGGAAUUGAGUCGAUCGACUGGAUUUAUCAUGAGUGCAACCAAGUUUCAAAGGGAAACCUACACAGCGUAACUAACAUCUUCAUAGGGGUUCUGCAAUAUGGACAAGAGCACUGUGCAACUCACUGCUGUGGCUGAUGAAACAUUUCAAAAGACCUUAACCUCAUCCACCAGCUGUCUCUGAACUAUGCGGUAAUAAUUAAGGCCUAGGGAGAACAUGUUCUAAGUUUUAUUGUAUGGUGUAGGGCAAAUGUCUUCGAACACAUCUCUUGGUGCCCCAGCUGCAACCAUAAUGUUAAAUUAAGCUCUUUCCUGACUAUUGAAGAGAGAGGAUGACAGUGGGGAAAAGUGGUGUCGUAGGGCAGAUUUGAACCCAUGUUGACACCGCGGCAUUAUUGUUUUCAAUGUAUGGAUUUGCUGACAACUCCUGAGAAUGUUCGUUCUAGUUUACUCUUUUUCUAAGCUAUAUUUCUUAUUACUGUGGAUUCAAAUCUGGUUUGGAUUUUUUUUUUUGUCAAUAUAAGAAAUGCUUUGCCAUAAUCUAUAGCCCUAUCCUGUCCGAAUAAGUUUUACUGGGGGAGCUCAGUUAAUGUAAUGUGCACAAAUCACCACAUCCAUAGUUUUUCCCAUCCAGUCAUUUUUAAAAUUAUCCCAUCCCAGGUCCUCUU